rnacentral:rRNA from 1 species
UACGUAGGGUGCAAGCGUUGUCCGGAAUUAUUGGGCGUAAAGAGCUCGUAGGCGGUCUGUCGCGUCGGCUGUGAAAUCCCGGGGCUCAACCCCGGGCCUGCAGUCGAUACGGGCAGACUAGAGUGCGGUAGGGGAGACUGGAAUUCCUGGUGUAGCGGUGAAAUGCGCAGAUAUCAGGAGGAACACCAAUGGCGAAGGCAGCACUCUGGGACGUGACUGACGCUGAGACGCGAAAGCGUGGGGAGCGAACAGG